rnacentral:rRNA from 1 species
CUACCAAAAGCGAAAGCAGUUGGUUAGGCUAUACCCUUUGUGCCUAUCGUAUAUAUUCUCUCUUUACACACACACAUACACCCCCAAAGAGAAAUAUAUAAUACGCUCUGACACUUUACAAUGAAGAACGAAGGUUGGGGGAUCAAAGAGGAUCAGAUACCCUCGUCGUCCCAUUAGUUACAUCAAACUAUGGGCUCUCAAUUGCUCUCAGUUUAACUGUACGAGUAAUUUAUAUGACUCUCAUACCCUGACCUGCAAACCUGUCAUGGCUCGAGCCUUCCCGCUCGCUAUGCACUAACCUGUAUCUGGUCUCGAUAUAGACAUAUAUACUUCUCGCUUACUAUAAAUAAAGUCGUGUCUACGCAUAUACUUUAUUGUAUACGCCGACACAAGAUUUUAUGAACUUUGCGCUCAGUUAUAAUACGGUGAGAUGUAAGCAUCAUAGGUGUACGAGUGUCGUACGUUUGCGCUUCGGCACAGACACGCGCUCUACGCCUAAAUUUUGAUGUGAAGCACGUGUUAGGUACGUGCUUACUGCAGAAAU